CCCCAAGCCCCUAGUCACCCCCCAAAUAAAAAGUCCCUACCUACCCCCCUCACCCUAAAAAAUAGUGAAGGGGGAAUAAAAUAACUAACCUGUAAAAUAAAAGUAAACUUACCAUUCGACGUCUUCUUUUUUCUCAAAUCUUCUUUUUUCAGCCCCAAAAAAGGCCAAAUAAAAAACCAUCAUAACCGUCGAAUUGAAAAUAAAAUAAAAAUCCCGAGCGCAAAAAAAAAAGCUGACGAAAAAGAAAAAACCCGAGCGCAAAAAAAUAAUCCAUCUUCACCCAUGGAGGGC